GGGGUAGGUGGAAUAUCAGUACUUGCAAUUGUAGUAUGUGGCUGCUGAAACUUCCCAAAAACCAGAGUUUCUUCUUUUCUGGUGGUACGAUGGAUGUAGACAGUAGGAUCAGGGAGCAGCGCCUAUGAAGGAAUUCCCACACUCAGAGCGAUAUGGAGGAGGGAAGGAAAAUGACACGGACACGGACCUCCUUUUGAGGACAUCCAAGAACCAUCUACAUAUCCAUAGGUGGGGAUUGUACCGUCCAGGCGCACAUAUCUGGAGCUGAGUAUAGGCUCCAGAAAAUUGUAAGUGCAAUUCCUUUCCCUUCAUUUACCAUCACUAAAGAUCUCAGCAUACUACACUAUAUCCGUGUCUUUUUCCUUCCCUCCUCCAUAUCGCUCUGAGUGUGGGAAUUCUUUCACAAUUCCAAUGCUGCUCACUGAUCCUACUGUCUAAUAAUUUAAUCAAAACCAAAGGAUUUUUAGAAUAUCCU